UUCGGUUGAUCCUGCCGAAGGCUACUGCUAUUGGAGUUCGAUUAAGCCAUGCGAGUCUAAGGGGUACUUGUACCCCUGGCAUAAUGCUCAGUAACACGUGGAUAAUCUACCCUCAGGUGGGGCAUAAACCCGGGAAACUGGGGCUAAUACCCCAUAGAUACAGAAAGCUGGAAUGCUUCUGUAUUCAAAGCUCCGGCGCCUGAGGAUGAGUCUGCGGCCUAUCAGGUAGUAGUCAGGGUCACGACCUGACUAGCCAGCGACGGGUACGGGGUGUGAGAGCACUUGCCCGGAGAUGGUUUCUGAGACAAGAAACCAGGCCCUACGGGGCGCAGCAGGCGCGAAAACUUCGCAAUGCGGGAAACCGUGACGAGGGAACUCCAAGUGUCUAUGCAUUGCAUAGACUGUUUUUUAGCCUAAAUAGCUUUUAGAGUAAGGGGUGGGUAAGACCGGUGCCAGCCGCCGCGGUAACACCGGCACCCCGAGUGGUAGCCACUAUUAUUGGGCCUAAAGCGUUCGUAGCCGGUUUGGUAAAUUCUUGGGUAAAUCGUACCGCUUAACGGUGCGGAUUCCGGGGACACUACCAGACUUGAGACCGGGGGAGAUCAGAGGUACUUGCGGGGGAGCGGUGAAAUGUUGUAAUCCCGCAGGGACCACCAGUGGCGAAGGCGUCUGAUCAGAACGGCUCUGACGGUGAGGAACGAAACCCUGGGGCGCAAACGGGAUUAGAUACCCCGGUAGUCCAGGGCGUAAACGCUGCUGACUUGGUGUUGGGGAUCCUACGAGGGUGUCCAGUGCUGGCGCGAAGGUAUUAAGUCAGCCGCCUGGGGAGUACGGUCGCAAGACUGAAACUUAAAGGAAUUGGCGGGGGAGCACUGCAACGUGUGGAGCGUGCGGUUUAAUUGGAUUCAACGCCGGAAAACUCACCGGGGGCGACGGUUACAUGAAGGCCAAGCUGAUGACUUUGCCUGAUUUUCCGAGAGGUGGUGCAUGGCCGCCGUCAGUUCGUACCGUAAGGCGUUCUGUUAAGUCAGAUAACGAACGAGACCUCCGUCACCAUUUGCUAGCCUCUUCUCCGGAAGGGGUGCACUAUGGUGGUACCGCCGCUGUUAAAGCGGAGGAAGGAGGGGGCAACGGUAGGUCAGUAUGCCCCGAAUCUCCCGGGCUACACGCGC
rnacentral:rRNA from 1 species